GGCUAAUGAAGAGUCUUAAUGCUCAUAGACUAUGAGUCCUACAUAUCUGGGACUCUAUGAUCAAGAAUCAAGAUUCUCUGAUCAUGAAUACCAUAUAUUUUGGGUACCGGGGUCAAGAGUCCCACUGGUUUGGGACUUUUUCAUCGGAGUUUCAUAUCGAUGGACUCUGAUGCCCGAUUAUCCAUCGAAUUUGGACUCAAUAUUUAUGAGAGAUUUAAUUAGUAAUUUGAUCACUAAUUAACUUAAUUUUAUUGAGUAAUUAUUUUUAGAUCAAGUCCAAUUGAAUUGGAUUCA
rnacentral:lncRNA from 1 species